UUACAUUUAGCUUUUAUUUUUUUCAG
rnacentral:piRNA from 1 species